UUUGUUUGGUGAUUUCUUAAUCAUCCAUGCUCUUAAGAUGAGCUGAGAUAAAGCUGGCAUACACAGUUUAUCUUAUAGGAUCGAUGAAAUGGAUGGCAGUCACGCGUACAGCUAGUUGUAUUACAAAACAUUCACUAAUACGAUCUUAAAUAUUAAACUUACUUCACGAGUUAGAAAUAGAACUUUCUCGACUUAUAGUUGUACUAAUUAUAUUACACAAGAAGAAUGACUCUAGAAGUAAAAUACGAAGGAAUAACGUGUUUAAUGUAUUUUAAUGAACAUUAUUUCAAGUCCCAGUAUAAUCUCAGUUAUCGAUGCACUAAUUCGUAG
rnacentral:misc_RNA from 1 species